rnacentral:rRNA from 1 species
AACGAACGCUGGCGGCAGGCUUAACACAUGCAAGUCGAACGGUUGUAGCAAUACAGCAGUGGCAGACGGGUGAGUAACACGUGGGAACCUUCCUAGGGGUACGGAACAACUCAGGGAAACUUGAGCUAAUACCGUAUACGUCCGUGAGGAGAAAGAUUUAUCGCCCUUAGACGGGCCCGCGUCGGAUUAGCUAGUUGGUGGGGUAACGGCCUACCAAGGCGACGAUCCGUAGCUGAUCUUAGAGGAUGAUCAGCCACACUGGGACUGAGACACGGCCCAGACUCCUACGGGAGGCAGCAGUGGGGAAUCUUGGACAAUGGGCGCAAGCCUGAUCCAGCCAUGCCGCGUGAGUGAAGAAGGUCUUCGGAUUGUAAAGCUCUUUUGCCAGGGACGAUAAUGACGGUACCUGGAGAAUAAGCCCCGGCAAACUUCGUGCCAGCAGCCGCGGU